rnacentral:rRNA from 1 species
CCUACGAGUGGCAGCAGUGAGGAAUAUUGGUCAAUGGACGAGAGUCUGAACCAGCCAAGUAGCGUGAAGGAUGACUGCCCUAUGGGUUGUAAACUUCUUUUAUAAAGGAAUAAAACGAGGCACGUGUGCCUUUUUGCAUGUACUUUAUGAAUAAGGAACGGGUAACUCCGGACCAGCAGCCGCGGUAAUACGGAGGAUCCGGGCGUUAUCCGGUUUUAUUGGGUUUAAAGGGCUCGUAGAUGGGUUGUUAAGUCAGUUGUGAAAGGUUGCGGCUCAACCGUAAAAUUGCAAUUGAUACUGGCAGUCUUGAGUACAGUUGAGGUAGGCGGAAUUCGUGGUGUAGCGGUGAAAUGCUUAGAUAUCACGAAGAACUCCGAUUGCGAAGGCAGCUUACUAAACUGCCACUGACAUUGAUGCUCGAAAGUGUGGGUAUCAAACAGGAUUAGAUACCCGGGUAGUC